UAUCCACUAAGUAUAUGGAAACAUAGCUCAGUUGGGUAAAAUACAGACAAGAAUUAGAUAUAAGCGAAUCGUUUUGUGGGUUCGAAUCCUCAUGAGGAUUUCUUUUUUUUUUCAGAUUUUUUUUUUAUUUUUCCUAUUCGUUUUCAUUUUUGCUUCCGUAUUUUUGUUCUUUGAUUGUUUGUAUUUGUAUAUAUGUCUUAAUUUAACACAAUAGUAUUUUCAUUAUUUGCAUGGAUAAAGUGCAUGUAUUUAAUCAAUAUCAUCUUUUAUAUAUAAUAAAAUAUUCUGAUCUGCCAUAUCGCUUUUAGAUACCUCUCUGUCGUGUUUUCACAGAGCUUAUGAAGGAAUGUUAAUGUUUAUGCAAAAGUGAAAUAAAAAUUGACUGUCGAUGCUGAGUUUCGAACCCACACGGCAAAAUAUCUGUUGAACAUGCCACUGAGCUAAUUCGUAAUUGGUACAAAAUCUAGAAAGAUUUAGAUUGCAACAUGUUAGAAAAAUGUUGAAUUCCCUAUGUUCCAUUUUAAUCUAUUUAUAGUCAUGUUUGUAAAUAUCAAGUUAUCGUUGGGGCAUAUUAAUAAGCUUAGAUAAUGUGGCAGUUGACCUCAAUACAAUAGACACUGUUUAUUUUCUAAUACAGGUAACUAAUAAUUACUUUGCAAUAUAGCCCCUACAUAAUUUUAUGACGGAUUAUCUUUGAACACCCCUGGACUUAUUGGACUCAACUGCCACAUUAUCAAAGUUUAUUAGUAGUAUAUAUUAAUCAACUUACGCCAUGCGGAACAGCUACGCAGUCUGCAUACUGGGUCACAUGAAAACGACAAUAAACAGUUUUUGUUAUUUUUUAUUUGUGAGCAGUGCAAAUCGCGUUAUACACGCAUUUUACUAUUUUGGAUUAUUAGAUACUUUGCACGGGCCACAAGUUUUUAUUGACCGGAUGAAAUACAGACGUAUUAGUGACAAAUAUCGAUCCAGAUGUGUUUGAAGAAACUGAACGUGUAUUGUUUGUCACUUUCGCUUUUAUUUUGGAUGGUUGAUGGUGGAAGUUUACCAUGGCCAGAUUUCGAGAGUGGAUGGUUGCCUAUUAUAAACGGCCUCGAACAUGUUGCUCGACUUAAUAUUGACCAUGGUUUAGGAGAAAUUCCGGUUCUUGUUGAUGUGUCGGUAAAAAUCAAGGACCAUAUAUUCCCGGCCUCAGGAUUUCGACCUGAUCACCCGAAAGAGAGAUCUGGACCAGUUGUUUAUAUAUACGAUGACAUGUAUGUCAAUGUAUCAACGUCUCCUAUAGAAGAUCCACUGUACAGAAUAUUUCCUCGAAAACCGUCGCCCUAUGAAGGGGACUACGUGAGGAUAAUUGGAGAUGCGAAUGUGCGGAUUCGAGCUUGGAAACAAUCUUCACUCCCAAAAGAGGACUUUAAGCAUUCGGGAAUAAUGUUAAAAGCGAAUACAUCUAAAGUUUCAGAUUCCUACGCUGAAGUGAAUCAUAAUCUGGAUGAAUUGCCGUGUCUUGUGGUUGUUCGUAUGAAAAUGUAUCACGGUGAUGGUACGAUUAUGGCUGAUGGCGUUGGUUCCAGUAUGCAGGUAUUUGCCGAUGUACCAGACAGAACGAAUGCCUAUCUUGUGUAUGGUUAUAGCAAUACCACAUUCAGACUGUGGGUGGACUCUUCAAUUUACGGUGCAAUAUUUGACGGCAGAAAACAUACAUGGUUUGACAUGGUUAUAUCCGAGGGAGAGGCCGAAAUAUUCGCAUGGAAAUGUUCAACUAUAACACCUCUAUACAACCAGCGUGUUGUAACAAAAUAUAAUUUGGGCAAAGUUCCGACGCGGUGGGACGUUGAUGUUGAGUAUGAGUUAGAAACCUCGCUGAUUCGAGUUUCGGUUCUAGCAGAAGAGCCAGGUGGUGCUAAUGAGGGUUUCCGGUUUCCUGGAGCAAUGCAUCUCGGGUAUCCAGCGCCGUCAGAAGCCGGAAAUACCAUAAAAUAUGCAACCGUCGGUGGCCUUUCUUAUACAUAUGAAACAAAGUACAAUAAGUUUAAUUUUUGGCAGCCGAAAUAUUUCGAUAAUGAAUCUACAAUAUUUAUCGCAGAGUCAUUUGGCUAUGGAACAAAUUCAGAAAUAUCUCACAGCGAGUCUGUCUACAUUCAAAGCUGGAUAUACGAAGAGAAUGGUGGAUGUCCGACACCUGUCAUUUCUAACGGGUUUGCGGACACGUCAAUCAACGGAACGUCAACGGGGGCACAGGCAAGAGUAAGCUGUUACGAGAGGUUUAUGUUGAUACCAAAAAAAGAUUAUUACAUACACGACUAUGAACAGAAUACAAUAACAUGCCAUAAAUUUGGAUCUUGGGGGAAUGUUCCAAGUUGCGUACCAAAUGACAAGGGAGUGGACGCUGAAUGUAACCCUGCUGUGGAUAAAUGUCGGGAUAAACAUGCUGUUUGUACUCUGAUGUCGACUCUGAAUGUGUAUAAAUGUGCGUGCAACGGAGGGUACAAUAAUGUUAAUGGCCGUUGUAAAGCACAAGGAAAAUACUUGCCAAAAGCGGAUUAUGACAGCGACUGGGUACCGAUACGUAAAGGUGGACACAAUUGGUACCUAGAGCUGGAACAUGGUCUAAGGACAGUACCGAUGUUAGUCGAUGUUCAGGUGGAAGUUUCGGGCUAUGUAUUUCAUGCAAUAGGUUUUUCCCCGGACCAAGGCGAGUACAGCGACCAAAACAGCGCCGUAGUGUAUAUUUAUGAUGAAAGCUUUAUCAAUGUAUCGUCAUUCCGGACACGUAACACCUGGAAUGCCAAUCUCAUGUCAAGGAGCAACUAUAUGUGGGAUGGAUUGCAAUACCACUGGAAGGAUUACGGUAUGGUGAGAGCACAAGCUUGGAAAUCCGAAUCACUUCCAGUUCCGGAUUUGUUAGACGACUCGAGAGUGCUUCGUGCAAAAAGUUCUACAGUGACAGAGGCUUUUACCCAACUCAACAGUAUACAUUUGAAGUUAACGUUUCGUUUCAGACAGCGACUCUUUUUAUGAACUGAAACACAAUCUAGGAGAAUAUCCCAGUCUUGUUGUUGUACGGGCUAAAAUGCAGCAUAAUGGAAGUACUUUCUACGCAGAUGGAGUGGGAUCAGCUCUAAAUGUAUUCUACAAUGUGCCCGGCAUGACUAACGCUUUUCUUGUCUAUGGAUUUAGUGGUGAAAGUGUGCGCGCAUGGGUAGACUCAUCAGAAAACGGAG